UACAGAGGGGGCAAGCGUUAUUCGGAAUUAUUGGGCGUAAAGGGCGCGUAGGCGGCAUGGCAAGUGGAUGGUGAAAUCCCUCGGCUUAACCGAGGAACUGCCGUCCAAACUGCUUCGCUUGAGACCGGGAGAGGUGAGUGGAAUUCCCAGUGUAGCGGUGAAAUGCGUAGAUAUUGGGAGGAACACCAGUGGCGAAGGCGGCUCACUGGACCGGUACUGACGCUGAUGCGCGAAAGCGUGGGGAGCAAACAGGG
rnacentral:rRNA from 1 species